GCGAUUGGUGAUUGCGAAGGCGAGCGCCUUGAUCCACGUGGUGCCACACUUGGGGUUCGUUGCGAGAACGAUGUCGUCGUGGCGAGGUUCGAAGGUGUUCUGGAGGCGCAUGAUGGUUGCAGCGAAACGUGGACGGAGCCAGUAGUUCUUGUAGAGCACCAAUGGCUCCGACCACCCCUCCCUCGUUGGAAGUUUGGAUAGAGGAUCACCAGUACCGUGGCUAUUUGUGGCGCUUCCCUCCAUGCCUUGUGCCAUAGCUCAGCUGCUUUGGAGUGUUCUAACCUUAAAAGCUGGGACGAUGGAUUGGGUGGGUGCGUGUAGACCUGCGGAUUGAAUACAGAGAGCAGCUCUGAUGCUGGUGGCUAUCAAUGCUGUGCAAGUUACCAUAUAUAGGAUUAAAAUAUAAUCUCGUGAUUAGCGAGUAUGUUUUUAUAUUCCUAAAGAAAAGGGACAGAUAAGAUCAUAUGGCGGGGACAUAGCUCAAGUUCUUUAAUUUGGAUCCUGACAAAGGGUUGCUUGGAUGAGAAAAGUAUUAUGUAACAACAUACUUACUAUCUCGACUCUAAAAAAUCCAAAAAGGCGAAAAAAAACUUCCUAGGUCAGGGUUCCUCCGGUCGGUUCUGCGUCCACGAGCCACCCCGCGCCGCCUGCUUCGGCUCCCUCCAGCUCGCACUUCCUGGUUUGCCCUCCGAUCGAUUCGGCGUCCGCGAGCCUCCCCCGCGUCGUCCGCUUCGCCUCCCUCUAUCCUGCCCUUCCCGGUUUGCCCUCCGAUCUCCAGCGCCACCCGCCCUACUCCUCCGCGGUCUCCCUGCGCCGCCACCGCCGCCCGCCCUACUCCUCUCCGCAGUCUUCCUGCGCCGCCGCCGCCGCUCACCCUCCUCCUCUCCGCGGUCUCCAUGAGCCGAGCGCCGCUACCCGCCCUCCUUCUCUCCUCGGUCUCCCUGCGCCGCUGCCACCGCUCGCCCUCCGCCACCGCCGCCCUACUCCUCUCCUCGGUCUCCCUGCGCCUCCUCCGCCGCUCGCCCUGCGCUGCCAUCACCUGCCCUCCUCCUCUCCUCGCUCGCCCCGCGCCGCAGUCACCUGCCCUCCUCGUUCUCCCUGCGCUGAAGUCGCCCGCCCUCCUCCACGCUCUCCCUGCGCCGCAGUUGCCCGCCACUACUCCUAGUUGUCGUGCCGUCGUCGGGGACACGCUACCAACGAGCCAGGUACCUCUUCUCAGACGACCUACAACACCGGAGUUCGAUUACAUCCUGUAUUGUUCAAACAUAAGUCUUCACCAUAGUCUCUGUGAUUGAAAGCAUCUUUUUUUUGUGUGUUCUAUACAAUGUUAGUCACUCCUCUUUGAGAACAACCGAAGAGGGUGUUUUGUCAUAGGGCAACAUGCUAUAUGUCGUGCCCCAGAUACAUGCUGAAUUGAAAAUGUAAUUUGUGUGCAGUUGCUUGGCUACCUAUGUUUUGACCAAUAUGAGGCGCAAAGGAAAAGUUCCUCAUUUAUCGUUUCUUUAGCUAUUAUUAGUAGUGUGGUAGAAGAUCCCAAUUUGUACUUAUUAGCAGGAGAGUAGAAUUACCUUGAUCACCUCAUAGAACUUCGGAUCCAAGUGAACUGGCCUACUAUACAACCACGGCAGCUCUAAUGUCCAAGUUGAGAAACAAUGCUAAUAGCACAAAUACUGUUGGAGAGGCACGCCAUUUCUGCAAAGAAAGAAAUCAGAUCAAGCUAAAACAACACUAUUUGAAUGAAAAAUGAAAUGUGGUGCAUGCCUGAAUCAAUUUGAACUGCACCAGCCUACAAAGUGGUCGGCCAGUCGAUUUAACUGUAAUUUUCAUUUCUGGACCAACAACAACUGAUCUCGAACAAUACAGGUUCCAGUUUCUAACAAAAACUGCAUUUAUCCAAUCACUGUUACAAACUAUUAUUUGAUGGGUCUAAAAUAUAAAAUAAACAAGGAUGGCGAAUUUCAUCCAUUAGAAAGUGACAGCCCACUAUCUAUGCUUGAAUUGCUCCUAGAACCUGUGGACUGUCACAUAUAAUCUGCUACUGCCCUUCAGGUGAUACAGCUGAAUCAUUUGCAAUCAGCCAAACUGCAUAUUUCAGGACAGUUCACUGACAACUGAUGACCAAGAUAUCUGAUAAUUUGGCAUAGAUAGCGAGCAUCCCCAUCUGUAGUCGUCAACAGCAGAACGAAAUUACCUUGAACAUCUGACAGAGCUUCGUAUCCCAAGUGAAUUGGUGCCCAGCUUGUAGGGCGAGCGAGGAGGAGGGCGGGCGGCGGCGGCGGCGCAGGGCAACACCGGAGUUCGAUUCUGUUGUCUAGGGGGUGUUUGGAUCCUUGAGCUAAAGUUUAGUCCGUGUCACAUCGAAUAUUCGGAGGCUAAUUAGGAGGAUUAAAUAUGAGUUAAUUAUAAAACUAAUUGCACAGAUGGAGACUAAACGGCAAGACGAAUCUAUUAAGCCUAAUAAAUCCAUCGUUAUGAAAUGAUUACUGUAGCAGCACAUUGUCAAAUCAUGAACUAAUUAGGUUUAAUAGAUUCAUCUCGCCGUUUAGCCUCCAUCUGUGCAAUAAGUUUUGUAAAUAUUCGAUGUGAUAGGGGCUAAAGUUUAGCCCUGGAACCAAACGACCCCUUAGUUGGCUUCUCUGAAUUUUGAUUACUGAAUAGCAAUUGGUAUGCUAACGUGAUUUGAACCAUUGUUCAUCCAGUGCAUGUCAAAGUCAAACUAAAGAUCAUUCUUUGGCUAGAGAUAUUUUGUGUUUGGCUAGAUCAUUCCUUGGAUGGAUUUUGAAUAAAUAAAUUCAUGAUUAGCCUGUUUAGAAAUUGCACAGAUCCAUUAUGUCUGAGUGUUUUCUAAAUGAAACUUCUGAUCUAGGCCACACCACAUUGAUAUAAUCAUAUUCAGUAUUCAGUACUCAAUUAGGCAUUAAUCACGUAACAAGUUGUUGCCAGGGCAAAUUACAGUGCUCAUUUUAGCGAUUCUUGUUGAUCUCUCUUUGUUGGGUAUGGUCAGGUCUUACUUAGUUCAAUGUUUCAUGAUACUAUGAUGUGCAACAAUUCAGUUUAUUUUACAUAUUUCAUUUAAAUUAUGUUCAGCUAUCUUUCUAAAUCCCCUGCAAGACUGGAUAGGCAUUCAGGCUGCAGAACUGUUGGAUGCUUACUAUAAAUUAGGCUUUUACCAUCUACUGACUGUCCUAGGCUGCUAGGAAUCUCAGCAAAUAAGAAUUGUUGGAUGCUUACUAUAAAUUAGGCAUCAAUCACGCAACAAGUUGUUGCCAGGGCAAAUUACAAUGCUCAUUUCAGUGAUUCUUGUUGAUCUCUCUCUGUUUGGUAUGGUCAGAUCUUGCUUAGUUCAAUGCUUUGAUCUAGCAUAUUUUUGUAAUUAACUGUGUUAUUACUAAUGUACAGGAGUGUUAUGAAUGGUUCGGGAAACCAUUACAACGUAACGAGGAUGAAAAUAUCGGAAGCCCGAGUGACGUUAGAGAAAUAAUGGAACCUAACGAGAUUCAGCAGAUCAAACAAAAGAGGAAAUCCACAAACGGCCAUGAAAAUGCACUUAAACCGAAGAAAAUCGAUACAGAGAUUGAUUCAGAUAAGCAAGAUGUUCUUCUAUACUACAAGGACUGGCCCUUGAAGAGAGAUGAGUUAGCUGAGAUUUUUUAUGAUUAUGUUUUGACAAUCGAGGAUCCUGCGGAAUUGAAGUAAGCUCAGUAGUUCAUACUUCAUCACUUUCGUUCACUAAUAGUAUUGCCGUUUAUUAUGAUUUCUUAUGCAUCGUCCCUAUCUAUUGUUUUGCAGUAUAGUUUGGGUAAGCAGUGAUUUGCCCUAUAAAAGUGUGUAUAAACUCGGUGAUCUCAAGGUGUUGUUGAAACGAGGUUCACCCAUACCUGAACCAUUUUUCAACUUAGGUGUCCGGUUUCUUGCAAACCGAGAGGUUAAAGGGAUGAUAAGGUACAACAACAAGGUUGCAAAGCAUCACGUGGAUCUGCGGUUUUGUGUAAGUUAGCUUGUUUAUAAUUACAAUCAUACUGUGGAAUAUACUGCAUUCAUUAUCUGUCUAUUUAUAUUUAUUAUACAUAAAAUUGAUAAGUGGUACUGAUCAUGGCUAUAUAUCAUUCCGCUUCAGAAAAUGUUGGAGUUAACACGUCAUGAAAAAUAUUGUACACAUCGCAAUGGUAAAGAGUUGGGUGAUGUGAUUGGUGGAUGGGAAAUAGUAAAAUAUAACAUACUAGGUUGCAGAUAUGUAAGUUCUUUUCAUGUUGUUAUUUGUUCAUUACAUAUCCUUUGUGGUCUUAAUAUUGAGUGCUUUGCAGUUUCUCUUGCCACGGAAACACGUCAAUACCUACCUGCUUUAUGUACUCGACAUUAAGCGGAGAAACUUAUUGUGAUUGACACUAAACUCAUUCCAAAAUAUGCCACAGAUGUGCCAUAUAAACAUUAUGCGAUAUAGAUUGUAGGGUUUCGCCUAAAAUUUUUGGUCGCAUUUAGACAGCUUAAACCUGAUUCAUGGGAGGAUGUUCACAAAUAGGAAUUUAAACGUGCGAAAGGGAUUGCGGAAGACACUGAUGGGUAAGACCAGCUCUGACACACCGGCAUUUUAGAGUGUCAAUAUCCUUUAUUUCUUAAAAUAUAUGUUUCUAUAUUUAUAUAGCUGACGAUUCAUCGUACCACAGAUUUUCAGAUGGAUGGUUUAUUCUACAGUACAUGGCAUGGUGGGAUAGUCCUCGAAACGUGCACAUCGAUACAGUGAGUAAAUAUACUUUAUUGUACGUUCCUUUGUGAUUUUACAAUAUACGAUAAAUCUAAUCACACGAGAGCUAAACUUGAAGUAAGCACUCAACUUACGUACAUGAUGCUAUUACGAUGCGGCGCAACUUCUUCAUCGAUCUUUUGGUGCACGAAGCGAAUGCCUGGAGGACACUACUACCAGGCAUUGUGAAACAUUAUCUUUGGCGCAUCACAGGCAAAGAAAUAGGAUAGAUGGGGGUGGCCUUUGGAUGAACUCUAUUCGUAUUUGUUCCACAUGAUUAUUAUCCUGCUGAAUCCAAUGUUGAAGGUUGUUUAAGUCGCCGUUAGAGCUUGCUAGAGAUAAAUACGAUGUAAAGGUGAUUAACUGCCAUAUAUUGUUUGGGAAUUGGUCACAUAAUUAUUCUUUUGCAAGUUGACAUAAAGAGCAUCCAAGCGUACUUAUGCUUAUGUUAUUACUCAUUACAAAGUCAUUUUUUAUUUCACAUUGGGGGCAUUUGGAAGUAAAUAUUUCACACGAUAAUGUUGAUGUUUAUAGACGAAAUUUGUUUUGCCCGUAGCAACGCACGGACACGAUCGUGUACUUAAAAACCAAAGCCGUAGCGGUGACGGUGGUCCAGCUCUUCUCUCCUCACCACUGACACAUGCACCCACAUGUUUUUCAUAACACAAGGCCGGAUCCCUUGAGCUUCUCUUCCAUGAUGUAAUCCAACUUUCUCCCCAUCUCUUCACUCAUAUAAUUUACCCAAUCACCUACCUUGCCUCUCCUGAAGAAGGCUGAUUUCUCGUAGACCACAUUGGGUCUUGGACGGAGCUUCAAGUUUCCGGCCCUAUUAGCCUCCAAGCCACUAAGCAUCUCAAAGCUGCACAACCUUACCACCUGCUCAUGAACACCAUCCUCUUCUUCCUCGCCGGUGAAUGGGACACCGAGGAACAAUGCAAGUUUCUUGACAUACCUCACAGGAUCUGACAUCAUGUCUUCAUAUUUCAGGAACAGAAUCCUAUCAGGGCUCGCGAUGCUUUCUUUCCAGUACUCGAGACAAUGGUUCCAAAAGGGCCCACUGGGCAAAGAACCCUCGCAAAACCUAUUGAACAUGGAGUCCAAGUCAGGAGCAUGUCCUCCAUGUAUCCUUUUCAAGAAAUGCCACAAUGACACAAAGGCAUCCUUGGGCUCUCGGCAAAUAUAAACAAUACGACAACCAUGGCUAGCUAUGGAUCCAGGAAGAAGUGACAUGGGCAUGUGGGUAGACACAAGCCUCGGGGAGGGAAGCGUCUCAACAUAGCUUAGGUCCUCAUUUGUAGGAAUUUCCAGGAAAGGCACUACCUCCUGUGGAUGAUGGGUGAGGAGCGGGUGGUCAUGGAAGUUGUAACGGUGGCGGGUGGUGAUAGUGAAGGCAAGUGCCUUGAGCCAUGUGGUGCCACACUUGGGGUUUGUGGCGAGGAUGAUAUCGUCGUGGCGAGGCUUGAAGAUGUCUUGGAGGAGCAUGAUGUUUUUGGCGGUCUGUGGCCACAGCCAAUAGUUCUUGUAGAGCACCAAGCCUUCUUUUGGUGGAAGUUUGGACACAAGAUCAUCAAUGUGGCUCUCGGCUGAGCUUCCCUCGUUGUUGGGAUGAGCCAUGGCUGGUUUUAUAUUUUGGGCCUUUUGGCAGGUGAUGGAUCCAACAAACAGGCAGCUAGCUAGCUAAAAGGUUCUGCUUCAACCCGCGGAUUGAGCUAGCUGCUCUGCCUGGUGGAGCUGAUACUAUUAUAUAGUUGAAUUGAAUGUCGCUGAUAUUAUUAUUGAAUUAGUUCACUAGUCACUAUUGUAUAGUGAGGUAUGGGCAUGGAUGGUAACAUCAUAUCUUCCUAUCUGUGGUAUGGGCAUGGAUGGUAACAUCAUAUCUUCCUAUUUGUGGUAUGGGCAUGCAUGGUAUGGGCAUGGAUGGUGUUUUUUUUUUGGAAGUUUGGAUAGAGGAUCAUCAGUACCUUGGCUAUUUGUGGCGCUUCCCUCCAUGGCUUGUGCCAUAGCUCUCAGCUGCUUUGGAGUUCUUGCGCGCUCUACAGCUGGGACGAUGGAUUGGGUGGGUGCGUGUAGACCUGCGGAUUGAGCAGCUCUGCUGAUUGGCUUGCGCAUGCAUCUCCGGCUGUUGGGAUAAUACUCCCUUCGUUCUAAAUUGUAGGUCGUUUUGACUCUUUUAGGUUCAUAGAUAUUAUUGUACAUCUAUAUAUGUGUAGAAAAAUUUUAAAACGGAGGAAGGAAGUAUAUAAGAUGAACGUAUGCUCUUGCAAUUGUUGAGUUAGUUCACUGAUUAAUGUAUACAGUUGAGGAGAUGGAUGUAUACUGCCUAACAGAAUAGCAUGAAUGCACGCUUGUUUCAGUGAGGCCGUCUUUCUAGCUAGGACACUGUAACCUCGAGCCGUACAGAUGUUAAUGUGCUGGUGACCCAAUAUAAUUUGACUAUAGUUUAUCAUUUUCCCUUCCUUUUGCCUUUCAUUUGAUCCGUAUCGCUGUUUCAGAAAAUUGGUCGUUUCUUGUAUUUUGCUAGGUCGUCAGAGACCAUUUCAGUAAUCGUAAGUCAACGCAAGGUCCAAGAUGUUCCUUUAGUUUUUUUUUAAAAAAUAAGGCUUAUUAUAGUUGAAGGGCCUAAAUUUGAGGCAGAAUCUUGUUUGGGCCUGAAAGUGAAACUGUUGGGAUUGGGCUGGUGGGCUUGAUCGCGGGCUUAUACGGGUUUGUUUCGUGAAUACCGUACUGCCAGCCCGAGAGUGCACGUUCAUGAAUGGUAACCUCAAGUUCAGAUGCACCUGUACAUUGCUGGGGGCAUGAGGGAUAUGGGUAUCCCAUAGGUUCCCACCGAUACGGAUCUGAUAAGUAGGCCCGCUCGUUCAGGACAUGCGGGCUGAGGACAUGAAGUUAUCCAAAUCUACCCGUAUACUGUGGCACGCGUACUGUAAUCCGAUUUAGAUUUGUUAGGAUUGAUCUCUUUCCAGAUUUAGUCCAACGGCCAAAUCCGAGAAGGAUCCCCAAUGGCGUCCUCGACGACUACUUCACUCAAGACCGACGGUCAGUGUCUCUUUCUCCAGGAUGUCACCGUGUAGAUCUAGUACUUCAUGUUGUUUAUCUAAAUCAAGUAGAAGACCCACUAGAUUAGCACCUAGAAGUUCCUGUUAAUCCUAUCAAGAUUACCUUUCCAUGUAAUACCGAGUAUAUUAGAUUCAAAUCGACAUGUAACUCUUAGUCGUUCAACUAUAUAAGGCAGCUAAGAACGCCUCCAAAGGCAAUGGAAAAAUAGAUCAUCAGAUCAAUACUGGGCAAUACAAUCCAAAAAAUACAGGACGUAGGGUAUUAUCCUCCGAAGGUCUAAAAUUAUCUAAAUCCCUCGUGUUCCCUUUGUGUCCUCGCGAUCACCUUCGAGUUCUGGGCCCUCGGAUCCAUCCUGCUCGACUCCCUCGGAUCCAUCCUGCUCGACUCCACGCCCACCCAGAGGAGCAAGCACUAGUAGAGAAUUGGGCUUUAGUCCCGGUUGGUAGGGUGCAAAUAUCCCGAAAAUCCAUCCGGGAUAAACCAACCGGGACAAAAGGGGGGUCUUUUAUCCCGGGUCACUCAACCGGGACAAAAGACUCCCUUUUAUCUCGGUUGGUAAUACCAAUCGGGAUAAAACGGGUCACCAUGGCCAGCGCUGCAAAAAAAAAAUCCCGAGCUCCCAGGAGGCCCACACACGCACGUCGCAAGUCACAAGUCACGUAAUUUUUCACGCGAAAUAUGCGCGUGCGCGGUUCGUGGGAUUCGAUCCCACAACCUCUUGAGGAUGACGGAAGAGAAGAGGGUGAUUGCCAAACUCAUACCGGGAGCGAUUGGUGAUUGCGAAGGCGAGGGCCUUGAUCCACGUGGUGCCACACUUGGGGUUCGUUGCGAGAACGAUGUCGUCGUGGUGAGGUUCGAAGGUGUUCCGGAGGUGCAUGAUGGUUGCAGCGAAACGUGGACGGAGCCGGUAGUUCUUGUAGAGCACCAAUGGCUGCGCCCACCCCUCCCUCGUCGGAAGUUUGGAUAGAGGAUCAUCAGUACCGUGGCUAUUUGUGGCGCUUCCCUCCACGCGUUGUGCCAUAGCUCAGCUGCUUUGGAGUGUUCUUGCGCGCUCUACAGCUGGGACGAUGGAUUGGGUGGC
rnacentral:lncRNA from 1 species